UACGUAGGGUGCCAGCGUUAUCCGGAAUUAUUGGGCGUAAAGAGCUCGUAGGCGGUUUGUCGCGUCUGCCGUGAAAGUCCGGGGCUCAACUCCGGAUCUGCGGUGGGUACGGGCAGACUAGAGUGAUGUAGGGGAGACUGGAAUUCCUGGUGUAGCGGUGAAAUGCGCAGAUAUCAGGAGGAACACCGAUGGCGAAGGCAGGUCUCUGGGCAUUAACUGACGCUGAGGAGCGAAAGCAUGGGGAGCGAACAGG
rnacentral:rRNA from 1 species